AUUGAACGCUGGCGGCAGGCCUAACACAUGCAAGUCGAACGAGUGGCGGACGGGUGAGUAAUGGCUGGGAACCUGCCUGAUGGAGGGGGAUAACUACUGGAAACGGUAGCUAAUACCGCAUACCAUCAGAUGUGGCCAGAUGGGAUUAGCUUGUUGGUGGGGUAACGGCUCACAAAGGCGACGAUCCCUAGCUGGCCCGAGAGGAUGACCGGCCACACUGGAACGGAGACACGGUCCAGACUCCUACGGGAGGCAGCAGGAGGGAAUAUUGCACAAUGGGCGAAAGCCUGAUGCAGCCAUGCCGCGUGUAUGAAGAAGGCUUUCGGGUGGUAAAGUACUUUCAGCGGGGAGGCGUUACCUGCAGAAGAAGCACCGGCUAACUCCGUGCCAGCAGCCGCGGUAAUUC
rnacentral:rRNA from 1 species